UGGGGGACAUUUAAAUUUUACCAUGUCAUCCUGGGUGUCUUCGCCCUGCAGAUUUCUUUCAGCCUCACUGUCAGUGUUUUCUCUUGCAAAGCCAUCAGUGUCCGCAGACGCUACCGCCCAAUCCUGGUGUAAUUCCACGAUGGCUCUGCAGCGUCGGGACAGCGAUGGCUUACAAACCUCCACAUGGCCUCCAAACUCACCGUGAGAAUACCAUCAGUAAUACUACAGCAGAGUACUAUCAUACUCUGACUCUGCCUGUCAUUAUACUCUUUCCAAGAGUAAUCAUGUUGCACUGCAUUCUGGGUAAUUUAGGGGUCAAAAUUGUGUUCAGGUUUAAAUGUGGGUUUGGGGUGUGGGGGGGCAGUGGAAAAGACGCAUGCCUUGUCCGUGAGCAAGACACUUAACCCGUCGUUGCUGAGCAGAUGAUUCAGACGCCAUCAAUAGAGAGAGGAUUUCAUGUCGGGACAAACUGAGGUACGACGUUCUGAAACAGCUUAAUACAUUUUAUUUUAACGCCGAAUUCAGCAGAAGACACGACAGGUAAAGACUGAGUGUUGAAAGCUUUUCACAGGUUGUCUAAUGCAAGCUAGACAAAAUUAAACAGACUCAUUUAUGAAGGCAGUCUGGUGACAAAGGAGCAUUAUUUAGAGAUGCUGUUUAAUAACUGGUCAUUGGGUGUGUAAAUUUAGAGUUGAAAUGAACUAUAUGUCACUGUGCAUGUGGUUAUCUACCAUGAAUGUAUUUUUAUUUAGCGAUAAUGUUGUGUACUAAACCAAACCAAACAAAGAAUACUGUACAAAAGCUCUCUUUAACGUACCACAUUGAUAAAACAUAUUUUACCAAAAAAUAAACUUAUCAACACUUUCAUGCAUCAAUUAUAAAAAAAAAAAAAUAUUUAAAAUUUUAUUUAACUGUCCACGUGUGAGUUCA